GACGAACGCUGGCGGCGUGCUUAACACAUGCAAGUCGAACGGUGAAGCAGAGCUUGCUCUGUGGAUCAGUGGCGAACGGGUGAGUAACACGUGAGUAACCUGCCCUUGACUCUGGGAUAAGCGUUGGAAACGACGUCUAAUACCGGAUACGAGCUGAGACCGCAUGGUCAUCAGUUGGAAAGAUUUUUUGGUCAAGGAUGGACUCGCGGCCUAUCAGCUUGUUGGUGAGGUAAUGGCUCACCAAGGCGACGACGGGUAGCCGGCCUGAGAGGGUGACCGGCCACACUGGGACUGAGACACGGCCCAGACUCCUACGGGAGGCAGAAGUGGGGAAUAUUGCACAAUGGGCGCAAGCCUGAUGCAGCAACGCCGCGUGAGGGAUGACGGCCUUCGGGUUGUAAACCUCUUUUAGUAGGGAAGAAGCGAAAGUGACGGUACCUGCAGAAAAAGCACCGGCUAACUACGUG
rnacentral:rRNA from 1 species